CAGCGCCACGGUAAUACAGAGGGUGCGAGCGUUAAUCGGAUUUACUGGGCGUAAAGCGUGCGUAGGCGGCUUUUUAAGUCGGAUGUGAAAUCCCUGAGCUUAACUUAGGAAUUGCAUUCGAUACUGGGAAGCUAGAGUAUGGGAGAGGAUGGUAGAAUUCCAGGUGUAGCGGUGAAAUGCGUAGAGAUCUGGAGGAAUACCGAUGGCGAAGGCAGCCAUCUGGCCUAAUACUGACGCUGAGGUACGAAAGCAUGGGGAGCAAACAGGAUUAGAUACCCCCGUAGUCCCUGUCUCUUAUACA
rnacentral:rRNA from 1 species